GAUUUCAAAUCUCGCGGCCGCCCCAGCUCCAACACCACCGCGACCUCCUCCUCGUCGCCGGUCCGAUUCGUCACCGGUGGACCGCCCGUCCGCCUCCGUAUGCCGCCGCGAAGCUCCACCGCGCCGCUCCAUCCUCGACGGUUCUGCCACAGGGCGCCCCCUCGACCAGAGCGCUGAUCCGGGCGGUGAGGUUCGGGGACGCGGCGCUGCACCAGAAUCGCGAGAGGAUAGCGAGGUUCGGAUAGCGAUUAGGCCCCGUUUGGGACAGCGUCAGCGAUGCUUUUGAGCGGAAGAUGCAGAAAAAUCCCGCCGAACGGGUUGCGGCCAACGCGCAUUCGACGGUCGCGCUCGGCUGAAAAAGCGGGAAAAUGAACUGCUCGCCGCGACAAGAGAGAAGCAAGGGAGUACUUGAAUACUUUAUAUAAGCUAGCCACCCAUACACGCAUGUUCCAAUAAUACAAACCAUAUAUAUAA